GCCCCUAUAGCUCAGUGGUAGAGCGCUGCACUGUAAGUGUGACCAAUGAGAAUUAAAGGAUUUCUGAGGACGUUUGUGACUAAUCUUCCUAGCGUAGUGUAAUGCAGAGGCCCAUCGUUCGAACCGGUGUGGGGGCA